rnacentral:lncRNA from 1 species
AGAUAUAGAUAGAGUGGUGCCAAAUAGAUACAAAAGCAAAAUUUGAGCCACUGAUCUAGCAUUAGGAUUUCUCAAAGACACAUGAGGAAGACUAUCUAAGGCAAUGAUCCAGCGUCUGCUAUUUCUUAGGGAAGCAUUAGUCCGGUACCAAGAAUCGAAUGAUUCAGUAGAAAACAUCAAAUUUAGUACAAAGAGCAUAUGUCCACUACAAUGCUGAUGAAUAUUUCACUCACACAAAAGGUGACAUACAUAUAUGUUUUUUUACAAAGGGAUAUUGUAACCCAUACUAAAAUAGCUAUGUGCAUGAUUUGGGAAAUCAGCAAGAGAAGGCAAGUAUCAGCAACGAUAUGAACCGAGAACAUCGAGUAUCCAUCCGUAAACAUAUGCAAAAGGAUUAACCAGUAAAUACCAACAAAAUGGUAUCUCUUUCAGGAGCAGCAAGGCAAAUGUGAUACAAGAAAGCCACAUCACAAGAUAAUAGUCCUGCAUCAUAAAAGCAUUACAAUUAGAUAGUUAGGACGGAAUAUCUCAAAACUUUUCUGAGCAAAUGGAAAUAGUAAGCUCUUUGAUACAAUGAUAGGUAAACCUCUACUGGGUGCCUAACUGAAUAGUAAAUAUUGACCAUUCUUUAAGAUAAGAUGCUUAAGAUAAACCUGCAAGCCUCCUUCAGUGAAGACAUGCAAAAAGAUUAACUUCUGACCACAACAACUAAUUCAGCACAAAGAUGUUAGAUUUCCAAAACAUAUAUUAUAAAAAGAGCACCAUAAACAAUUGCAAUUUGAUAAGCAAAGCCUACAGUACUAAAAAGUAAGGAAAUCAACUUGACAUCAGAGAGAGAGAGAGCAACCUGGGCGGGGGUGAUGGUGCUCUCCUCCUGAUGGAACGACAAUGACAUAUGCAUCUUCCUAGGGAAGAGAUCCUCCCUGUUGCGCAUUUGGUGGGCCAAUGAGGCGGAUGAUAGCGAGCUCUCCCAGCCCUAGGUUAGGGGCGAGGGAAAUGGGCAUGGCGGCAUGGGAGUUGGGGCAGCACUGGUGUGGCUGCGCACACCAAUGAGGAACACGAGAGGGGCCGAGAAUCAAAGAAGGUGGCAAGGGUCCAAGCUCGCGAGGGUUGGGAGUCACCGCCGGAUGUUGUCGUGCCCCACUUUCUAGCUGCCUGCUGCACCGAUGGAAUCAGGAGACAGCGCACAUCUUAAUCAGGAAAGGCAGACGAAAACGAAAGGGAC